rfam:Aedes aegypti strain Liverpool supercont1.76 genomic scaffold, whole genome shotgun sequence.
CAAUCGGCCCUUUUCAGGGCCAACAUAAUGGGUUUAUUGGAUGAUAU